rnacentral:rRNA from 1 species
UUGGAGGGCAAGUCUGGUGCCAGCAGCCGCGGUAAUUCCAGCUCCAAUAGCGUAUAUUAAAGUUGUUGCAGUUAAAAAGCUCGUAGUUGAAUUUCGGGGUUAGUAGGUUGGUCAUGCCUCUGGUAUGUACUGGUCUCACUGAUUCCUCCUUCCUGAUGAAUCUUAAUGCCAUUAAUUUGGUGUUUUGGGGAAUUUGGACUGUUACUUUGAAAAAAUUAGAGUGUUUAAAGCAAGCUAACGCUUGAAUACAUUAGCAUGGAAUAAUGAAAUAGGACGUUCGAUCCUAUUUUGUUGGUUUCUAGGAUUGACGUAAUGAUUAAUAGGGAUAGUUGGGGGCAUUAGUAUUCAAUUGUCAGAGGUGAAAUUCUUGGAUUUAUUGAAGACUAACUACUGCGAAAGCAUUUGCCAAGGAUGUUUUCAUUAAUCAAGAACGAAAGUUAGGGGAUCGAAGACGAUCAGAUACCGUCGUAGUCUUAACCAUAAACUAUGCCGACUAGGGAUCGGAUGAUGUUAAUUUUUUAAUGACUCAUUCGGCGCCUUACGGGAAAC